ACAUUUCUGUCUCACCUGCUGCGUUUCAUGGAGAAGUUCGGUUCGGUAGUUUCCGGCAGCUCCCGGUGAAUUCCGCCAGCUUCGGGCCGCAGCAGGUCCAGCCAUCUUUCUGCUGUGCACGCGCCUCGGCACGCCCCCUUUCAUCCGCGCACGGAGAACAGAGUGACCAAUCACAGCUCAGAGACGUCAGCCGCUUCCUUGUUCCUCCAAUAGGAAGCGACGGUGAGGCGACUUCAGCGGGUCACGUCCUUCUCACCGCCAACGGAGCAGCAGGAGUGAAAACAACCGACGAAGGCGGGGCUUAGACGGCAAGAUAAUCCGGGAUGAGACCGUUAGCGGCUGGAAGAGGACGGUUCCGAAAAAGGACCAGAAAGAGUCAAAGGUCGCUGUGACGUCAGUAGGAGGUCAGAGGAAGGUUUAACAAAAUCACUGUCAUUAAAAAAUCAGAGUCAUUGAACAACACAGUAAAGCCAUUCCUCCCCCCACAACCUCCACUGACCUCUGAAGAGGAAGAGGAGGAUGAUGAGGAUGAGUUGGUUGAUGAGUGAUCAACUACAAUCAUUAAGUUUGGGGUUUCUGCUUGUUGCCUCGGCUUGAGGUUGGAUUCUGUUCAGAUCCUUACUGAAGGUUAACUCAUGAUUUGAUUAUUGUUUCUUAAACGUACUUUAGAAAUCAAAUGUUUUUUUGUUUUUUUUGCCAUGUAACAUUACUGUCCAUGUUUAAAUAAACUGCAAUUGAA